UACGUAGGGUGCGAGCGUUGUCCGGAAUUACUGGGCGUAAAGAGCUCGUAGGUGGUUUGUCGCGUUGUUCGUGAAAACUCACAGCUUAACUGUGGGCGUGCGGGCGAUACGGGCAGACUGGAGUACUGCAGGGGAGACUGGAAUUCCUGGUGUAGCGGUGGAAUGCGCAGAUAUCAGGAGGAACACCGGUGGCGAAGGCGGGUCUCUGGGCCAUUACUGACGCUGAGUGCGCGAAAGCCAGGGGAGCAAACGGG
rnacentral:rRNA from 1 species